UACGAAGGGGGGCUAGCGUUGCUCGGAAUCACUGGGCGUAAAGGGUGCGUAGGCGGGUCUUUAAGUCAGGGGUGAAAUCCUGGAGCUCAACUCCAGAACUGCCUUUGAUACUGAAGAUCUUGAGUGCGGGAGAGGUGAGUGGAACUGCGAGUGUAGAGGUGAAAUUCGUAGAUAUUCGCAAGAACACCAGUGGCGAAGGCGGCUCACUGGCCCGAUACUGACGCUGAGGCACGAAAGCGUGGGGAGCAAACAGGG
rnacentral:rRNA from 1 species